rnacentral:rRNA from 1 species
AGUGAACGCUGGCGGUAGGCCUAACACAUGCAAGUCGAACGGCAGCACAGUAAGAGCUUGCUCUUACGGGUGGCGAGUGGCGGACGGGUGAGGAAUACAUCGGAAUCUACUUUUUCGUGGGGGAUAACGUAGGGAACUUACGCUAAUAACGCCUACCACCCUCCGGUGGAAGCAGGGGGAUUUUCGACCUUGCCCCGUUGAAUUAGCCGAUGUCGGAUUAGCUUGUUGGCGGGGUAAAGGCCCACCAAGGCGACGAUCCGUAGCUGGUCUGAGAGGAUGAUCAGCCACACUGGAACUGAGACACGGUCCAGACUCCUACGGGAGGCAGCAGUGGGGAAUAUUGGACAAUGGGCGCAAGCCUGAUCCAGCCAUACCGCGUGGGUGAAGAAGGCCUUCGGGUUGUAAAGCCCUUUUGUUGGGAAAGAAAAGCAGCAGGUUAAUACCCCGCUGUUCUGACGGUACCCAAAGAAUAAGCACCGGCUAACUUCGUG